rnacentral:rRNA from 1 species
UACGUAGGGUGCAAGCGUUAAUCGGAAUUACUGGGCGUAAAGCGUGCGCAGGCGGUUUUGUAAGUCUGUCGUGAAAUCCCCGGGCUCAACCUGGGAAUUGCGAGGGAGACUGCAAGGCUAGAAUCUGGCAGAGGGGGUAGAAUUCCACGUGUAGCAGUGAAAUGCGUAGAGAUGUGGAGGAACACCGAUGGCGAAGGCAGCCCCCUGGGUCAAGAUUGACGCUCAUGCACGAAAGGCGUGGGGAGCAAACAGGAUUAG